rnacentral:rRNA from 1 species
AUGGAGAGUUUGAUCCUGGCUCAGAAUGAACGCUGGCGGCAUGGAUUAGGCAUGCAAGUCGAACGGGUCCCCUCGGGGACUAGUGGCGCAAGGGUGAGUAACACGUGAGCAACCUGCCCCCGAAUCCGGAAUAAGCCAGGGAAACUUGGUCUAAAACCGGAUGUCGGCUGAUUUCCGCAUGGUUUUCAGCCGAAAUAUUCAUAGUUCGGGGAUGGGCUCGCGCCCCAUUAUGCUUGUUGGCGGGGUAACGGCCCACCAAGGCUACGACGGGUAGGUGGUCUGAGAGGAUGGUCACCCACACUGGGACUGAGACACUGCCCAGACUCCUACGGGAGGCUGCAGUCGAGAAUCUUCCGCAAUGGGCGCAAGCCUGACGGAGCAAUGCCGCGUGAGGGACGAAGGCCUUCGGGUCGUAAACCUCUGUCAUCCGGGACGAAAGCCAUGACGGUACCGGAAAAGGAAGCCACGGCUAACCACGUGCCAGCAGCCGCGGUAACACGUGGGUGGCGAGCGUUAUUCGGAUUCACUGGGCGUAAAGGGUCCGCAGGGGGCCUGCCACGCCCGCCGUGAAAUUUCAGGGCUCAACCCUGAACCUGCGGCGGGCACGGGCGGGCUGGAGUGCAGGAUGGGCAGACGGAAUUCCAGGUGUAGCGGUGGAAUGCGUAGAUAUCUGGAGGAACACCGAUGGCGAAGGCGGUCUGCUGGCCUGCAACUGACCCUCAUGGACGAGAGCGUGGGUAGCAAACAGGAUUAGAUACCCUGGUAGUCCACGCCGUAAACGUUGUGUGCCAGAUGCGGGCGGGUUCGGCCCCGUCCGCGUCCCAGCUAACGCGAUAAGCACACCGCCUGGGGACUACGGCCGCAAGGCUAAAACUCAAAGGAAUUGACGGGGGCCCGCACAAGCGGUGGAGCAUGUUGCUUAAUUCGAGGCAACGCGAAGAACCUUACCCAGGUUUGACAUGCUUUCGACCGGCGUUGAAAGACGCCUUUCCUUCGGGACGGAAGCACAGAUGCUGCAUGGCUGUCGUCAGCUCGUGCCGUGAGGUGUUCGGUUAAGUCCGGCAACGAGCGCAACCCGUGCCGUCAGUUACCAUCGGAUAAUGCCGGGGACUCUGGCGGGACCGCCCGUGUCAAGCGGGAGGAAGGCGCGGAUGACGUCAAGUCCGUAUGGCUCUUACACCUGGGGCCGCAAACGUGCUACAAUGGCGGGUACAAUGGGCAGCGAGUCCGCGAGGCCGAGCGAACCCCCAAAGCCCGCCCCAGUUCGGAUUGCAGCCUGCAACUCGGCUGCAUGAAGUCGGAAUCGCUAGUAAAGGGACAUCAGCCACGGUCCCUUGAAUACGUUCCCGGGCCUUGUACACACCGCCCGUCACAUCAUGGGAGCCGACCGCACCCGAAGCCGCCGGGCUGACCCGCAAGGGGGGCAGGCGCCGAAGGUGUGUUUGGCGAUUGGGAUGAAGUCGUAACAAGGUAGCCGUUGGGGAACCAGCGGCUGGAUCACCUCCUUU